AGAGUCAUAAUAUAUUUUCUCUUUGUUUUCUAGUGGUAGAAUGAGAAAUUUAGAAAAGAACAUGUUUACAAAAGAAGCAUUAGCUUUGGCUUGGCAAUAUUUUUUACCGCCCUACACCUUCCAGAUCAGAGUUGGUGCUUUGUAUCUGCUAUAUGGAUUAUAUAACACCCAACUGUGUCAACCAAAACAAAAGGUAAUACUUGUUGUUUUCCCUCAGCAGAAAUAGGAAACAGGUACAAUAUUUUUACAACAAACUGAUUUAAACAGGAAUGCCAAUGUUUCAAAAUUAAAAUACAUUAAUGAAAAAGAUAUACCUUUAGUAACUUUUUUACUGUCUUGUUUGUAGAUUAGAGUUGCCCUGAAAGAUUGGGAUGAAGUCUUAAAAUUUCAGCAAGAUUUGAUAAAUGCACAACAUUUUGAUGCAGCUUAUAUCUUUAGGAAACUGCGACUAGACAAAGCAUUUCACUUUACAGCAAUGCCCAAAUUGGUAUGUUAUCUAAAAUAGAUUGUUUUUCAAAAUGAGAAAUUAUACUUCAUUGUUCAUAAAGUACCUCAGUCUCCAUAAAGUAGAAAGAAUAUUAAAUAAUUUCCAAUACAAUUAGAACAGUGUCUUAAAAUAGGAGAAAAUGCUUUCUGAUUACUUUUUUUUGCAAACAAAAAUUUAGUCUCUGCUUUUAAAUACAGUGUGUUUCUAGAUGCCAUCUGUUAAGCAAAUUGUUAGAAUAGGAAAUGAGAUUUGGCAUUUGCCAUUUGUUUAUUCCUUUAUUCAGAUCAGAGAGGUUACUGAAAGAAGACCAAGGAAUUUUAAAGUCAGUUGGUGAAGAACUGAAAUGUCCACUAAUAAAAUAUGUUUCUUCAGUCUUAUGACACUUGAGAUAUUAGAUUAAAAGAGCACCAGGUCCUAAUUCUGGAUCUGACAUCAGCUGGCCAAUCAUGUAACUUCUCUAUCAUUUGAAUUUAUAAUCAUGUGGCAUGACAUCUUAAAGGCUAUUUUAUUUUAUUAUUUUUUUAAAUACUUUAUUUUAUCUAUCUAUCUGUCUAUCAAAGAGGGCACAAGUGAAUGAGGGGCAGAGAGAGAGGGAGCGAGAAAGAAUCCCACACAGGCUCCAUACUGUCAGCCUGGCCAAAUUGGGCUCGAGCUCCCCUGAAGUGGGGCUCAAGCUCACCUGGUUUGGGGCUCAAACUCAUGAACUGUGAGAUCAUGACCUGAGCUGAAGUUGGAUGCUUAACCGACUGAACCACCCAGGUGCCCCUUAAAGGUUAUUUUAAAAGUCUGAUAGUCUUUGGAAAAUGGAUUAUCUAAAAAAAUGUCCUUUAAAAGACAUUCAUUAUCACACAGCUAUCAUAUAGAAUGAAGAAGAAAAUUCAACGAGCUGAAGUUACAGAAGAAUUUAAGGACCCAAAUGAUCGUGUAAUGAAACUUAUCACUUCUGAUGUGUUAGAGGUAAAUUCGUUUUUUAUGCUCUUGAAAUUAAAAAAAAAAUGUUUUAUUGUUAACUAUAUAUAGAAGUUACACCUUCAUCUAGGGAUACUGAAAUUUUUUCUAAUGAUUUUAACCAAUCAUAGAAUGCUUAUUGUUUCUCUAAAGUAUCAGAUGUAAUACACUCUAAAUAUAUGAAAAUUUAUGGAAUAAAUCUUGAAACUCUGUGAGAAGCAAAAAAUAUAGAAGACUGCCCUUGGACUUGGGAUGUUUAGAUUCAAAUACUGAAGCCACCAUUUAUGUUUGAUUUUAAAUAGGUCAUAAAACAAGAAUUUAAAGUGACUUAAUUUUUAUUUUUUAACACUAUGUAUUUAUUUCUUAAGUUGCUUUUUAUAAUGCUUAUUUUAAAAGCCACUGAAAACAAUAAAGCUGUUCUGAUAAAACAAAAAUAUGAAAUCAAGAUUUAUGGAUAAGAGGCAUAGUCUUAAAGCAGCUUUACCAUCUAAUGUACUUUGGUAUUUUAUUUGAGUUGUCAGUAUUGAGAAAAAUCAUCUUUCACAUGAAUAAGUAGUGAGACUCCCAGAAUUUUACAUGCAUGGAAUAGCACUGCCCUGAGGUUGAAACAAAACCCAUUUUUGGUUGUGGACUGAUAUGGUGGUAGAAAGUUAAUUUUUUGUCAACAUACCUUCUUAAACAUGGUUUUUGAUUUUACGUUCUUUUAAGAAUUAAAGGUUCUGAAAGUGUUGAAAUACAGGUUCCUUUGUUUGAAAAUAUUGUCUAUGUCAGCAAACAGGUAUGGAAGAUUUUAUAUUUUAUGUUUUUAAGUUAAUUUUUAUUUUGAGAGAGAGAACGAGCAGGGUAAGGGCAGAGAGAGAGGGAAGGAGAGAAUCCCAAGCCAGUGCCACACUCAGCAUGGAGCCCGAUGUGGGGCUCGAUCUCAUGACCAUGAGAACAUGACCUGAGCUGAAAUCAAGAAUUGGAUGCUUAACCGACUGAGCCACCCAGGUGCCCCUGACAGAUUUUAGAGAACAGAGCUGGGGUGAACAAAGGCAUAUCCUUUUAGGGUGAUCGGGGAGAAGGGUCCAAAGGGCCAAGCUAUGGAAUGCCUAUUCCUAGAAGCUUCUAUGUGAAGUCAUCGUGAUUUUUUGUAGGGUCUUUCACUUACCACAGACCUGCUUUAAGAGCCUUUUCCCUCUGUUGACUCUGUUCACCCUGUCCUUGUGCAGUCUUUCACCUGUUCUCAUAAUAAUCCUUACAUUUAAUACUUGCCUACGUUGCUUCUCCUGCCUGCAAAUGCUAUUAAGCCUACAUGUCAGCAGACCUGAAUUUGGGUCAUGAUUCAGCUACUCAUUAGUUCUAGCUUUGUGGUUAAGGAUGCAUAAUAAAAUGAAGAGACUAGGAUAUUGAAUCAGAACUUCUGAUUUUUGUUGAGUCACGGUGUUGUAUACCUAAAACUAAUAUAACACUGUAUGUUUACUAUACUGGAAUUUAAAAAAAAAAGUAUAUGGGGAAAAAGAAACUUUUGAUUUUGAAUUAUAACUCUAUUACUUAAAUAUGACCUUAAGCCAGUCAUUUCUUUGUUUCUUUACUUCUACAAUUAUAAUACAGUCGUGGCUAUCAUGUGUUGCAUGUUCAGCACGUGCCAGGAACUGUUAGGUGUUUUAUGUCUGUUAUCUCACUAAUGAUCAUAGUAACCCUACAAAGGAGGUGGUAUUUUCCUGAUUUCAAAAACAAGGAAACUGAGGUUCAGAGAAAGUAAGUAAUUUGCAUAAAGUAGGGUACAGUAAGGUACAGACACUGGAUUUGAAUGUCCAAGCCUAUAAGGCUCCAAGGUGCAUGUACUUUCUUUUAUUUCUUAAUCCUUUAACUUUGUAUGUUGCUUUACGUUUUAUAGAACAUUCCCACUUGUAUAAGCUCACUUAAUAUAGUUUACAGUGGGCUAGAUGGCAUCACUUAAUUUUGUACAAAUGUGGAAUGUGAUUCUCAGAUUGAGGGAUUUACUCAAGGUCACAGUCUAGCAAAUGACAGAACUCAGCCUCAAAACCGGGUCCAGCUAGUGGUCUUUCCUCUGUAUUUUAUUGCAUGUAGUAAAAUAAUGGAAUUCAGCACACUGCAAGCUGUACAAAGUUAGGGGCUCCCCAUGUCUGGACAGUGUUCUCCUUUGAAGGUCCUGCAUGAGUGAGCACUCAGCACUGCCCAGCAGCUCGUGAUUGUUUAAACAGAUCCCUGUCAAUGCCAUCAAAACCUACUGGAAAUGAAUUGAGUAGCCUAACUUGGGGAUGACUCGGGUGUUGCAGUGGUCAUCUGUGAUGGGAGUGUCAGUCGUUCUCUGCUGCUCUUUGAGCCAAGUCUCAAUACUGGCUUUAUCUGAUUUCUGAAGUCUACCUAUAAUGUGCUAUCUUUCCCUUACCCCAUAGACCUGCCCAACUGGCUGGAGGUUUCUGGGGAAGAAGGUCUAAGUGAUGCCUCAAAUGUUGUCAUAAUUGCCUUCUAUUUCUUUUAAUCGUGGAUCUUACUAGUGAAGUAAUGAUGGAGCUUACGGGGACAGGCACAGAGGCUUUGAGGUUUGUGAAGAUUAGUGGAUCUCUGUGGAGACCAUUAAUAAAGUUGUACUAUUUGGGUUGUGUGAUUAUAUUGUUUUCAAUAUACUGUAGCUUAUUAUUCUUUAUCAACUUAGUCACUUGGGAGUGUCAUUUUAUUUUGUGUUGGUUUUGCCUUUAAGUUUCUCCUCAAAAAUUGAACUGAAAGAUUCAUCUUUUCACUUUUAGGAAAUGCUGAAUGUUCACGAUCAUUAUCAGAACAUGAAACAUAUAAUUUCAGGUGAUAAAUCCAAUCCAGACAAAGCCCUCAGCUUGAUAAAGGAUGAUUUUUUUGACAAUAUUAAGAACAUAGUUUUAGAGCAUCAGCAGUGGCACAAAGACAGAAAGGUAUG
rnacentral:lncRNA from 1 species